rnacentral:rRNA from 1 species
UACGUAGGGUGCGAGCGUUGUCCGGUAUUCUUGGGCGUAAAGAGCUCGUAGGCGGCCUGUCGCGUCGGAUGUGAAAGCCCGGGGCUUAACCCCGGGUCUGCAUUCGAUACGGGCAGGCUAGAGUGUGGUAGGGGAGAUCGGAAUUCCUGGUGUAGCGGUGAAAUGCGCAGAUAUCAGGAGGAACACCGGUGGCGAAGGCGGAUCUCUGGGCCAUUACUGACGCUGAGGAGCGAAAGCGUGGGGAGCGAACAGG